UAAACCCGCAGACGCUGCGGCCCUCCAGGACUGGAGUUAAACCCGCAGACGCUGCGGCCCUCCAGGACUGGAGUUUGACACCUGUGUCUUAAUGGAAUGGUAAAAUCUCCUGGACUGUUGGUGCAAACAUUGGUGUGUACUUUGAUUGACAGAUUUACAUUCCAUUUAUUUCCACAGGUGUGGCAGACAACAUGGAGGAAAAGAUGUACAGUGCAAAUGAUGACAUCGUUCUUCUGGGCGUGACACCAGGAGCUGAAGGGGAAGAUGAUUGGUGCUUUUCCCCUAAAGGUUCUCCAGGAUAUGAAGAUAUCUCACCUAGAUCGACAUGUUAAUUUAGCAAAGUCUGGGAUUAUUUAACAUUUGCAUUAUUAUUAUAAUUAUCAUCAUUAUUAUUGUUUAUAAUGCUCCCUGUCAGAUCUAUAACGCUUAUAGUGAUUCCGUUUAAAGAGGAGAACUGUGUAGGAGAGUCUGCACAAGGCAAAGAAACAGCACAGGCCUUGAUGACUCGUACUCUUUUUGAAGAAAGAAAGAAAAAAGAAAGACCGAAAGAAAGAAAGGCAGCAUCCAAAGCACAGUUUGGAAAUGUUAGUGAAGAACUUUGUGUCAGUAGGCACUGAAAUCUGGAUUUAUGAGGCGAAACAAUGAAGGCUUCUGCUUCUCACUCCAAGAUGCUGGAGUGGAGUUGUUCUUAAGAUGCACACUGACCCUCCUAAACCCUACCUCCACCACUGUGACCCAGUAUCGGAGCAUGAUGAAGAUGAUCCAUGGAUGUCAAGGAGAUGACUCUUAUUCACGUUGCUGAUGUGGCCAAAAUGGGGUGACAGUGUUUAAGUCCUGUGGAACAUCAGAAAUCUCAAACUCCAGUCCCUGGAGGGCCGCAGUGUCUGCAGAUUUUUGUGCUUUUUUCUCUCAAUGACCAGCCAAUUUAGGUCUUGGAAAAAAGUCUUCUUUUAAAAAAAAAAAAAAAAUUCCACCUGUAGAUGGCGACUAUCGAAAGCAUCUUGGUCAAGAGACAACACGGAGGAUUCUCAAGUGUGUAUACUUGUAUGUAGAGGCCUGAGGUUAUGCACAGCUGUGACAGGCCAAUGAUAUUUUUCUUACAAAAUGGCUGACAUUGAUUAUAUAUAGCAUGUGCACCUUUUAUACAGCUGGGAUAUCUACUGGAAAAAUCACACUAAGGGUCAGUUGCUUAACUAUAUGCUGCAGUGGCCUACCUGUGAUUCAAACCUGCAACACCUUGGUUUCAAACCCAGCUGAAAUGUGAAAUGCAGUCCAUGGAAUUUGUCAGUUAAACUGUGAUUUCUGAACCUGCCCAGCUUGUAUUUGAGGAGGAAUAAAAAUUGCACUUAUUUGUUUGUUAAAGUUA